rnacentral:rRNA from 1 species
AUUGAACGCUGGCGGCAGGCCUAACACAUGCAAGUCGAGCGGAUGAAGGGAGCUUGCUCCUGGAUUCAGCGGCGGACGGGUGAGUAAUGCCUAGGAAUCUGCCUGGUAGUGGGGGAUAACGUCCGGAAACGGGCGCUAAUACCGCAUACGUCCUGAGGGAGAAAGUGGGGGAUCUUCGGACCUCACGCUAUCAGAUGAGCCUAGGUCGGAUUAGCUAGUUGGUGGGGUAAAGGCCUACCAAGGCGACGAUCCGUAACUGGUCUGAGAGGAUGAUCAGUCACACUGGAACUGAGACACGGUCCAGACUCCUACGGGAGGCAGCAGAGGGGAAUAUUGGACUAUGGGCGAAAGCCUGAUCCAGCCAUGCCGCGUGUGUGAAGAAGGUCUUCGGAUUGUAAAGCACUUUAAGUUGGGAGGAAGGGCAGUAAGUUAAUACCUUGCUGUUUUGACGUUACCAACAGAAUAAGCACCGGCUAACUUCGUG